rnacentral:lncRNA from 1 species
UUCCAGAAAGAUUUCUUAGGACAUCAAGUAGUCUGAAAACAUUUCCUUUUUGGAGAACAAGCCCCGCUCUUUGGGGUACCGGAGGGUCUCUAAGAAGCACUGCCUGUCCCAGUUUCUACAAAGUUGGGGCCACCUCUCUGGGAUAGGCCAGUCCAGCUCUGAAAGCUGAGCCAAGGGGCUGUUUCUGGAAGUUGGAAGAAUCAUGGUGAAACAAGCACAAGUAUGGGCUGUUCAACAAUUAACCAGGCAGCAUGGAGCAUCAUCACAGAGAAUCUAUGAUGUGCUACUGUGUGCUCUCUGCUAGAAACUGAAGAGAUGGGAUCUCGCUAUGUUGCCCAGGUUGGUCUAGAACUCCUGGCCUCAAGCAAUCCACCUGCCUCAGCCUCCCAAACUGCUGGGAUUACAGGCAUGAGCCACCAUGCCCAGCCUAAUUUGGGUUCUUUUUUUAAAGUAAGAUUCUAACUGUUAAUAAACUGAGGAACCUCAUUGUCCAUGAUAUUCAUAAUAAAUGAUAAUAAAAAGAA